rnacentral:rRNA from 1 species
UACGGAGGUGGCAAGCGUUGCUCGGAAUCACUGGGCGUAAAGGGCGCGUAGGCGGGGAGGUAAGUCGGGUGUGAAAUCCCUCGGCUCAACCGAGGAACGUCGAUCGAUACUACCGUUCUUGAGGAUUGCAGAGGAGACUGGAAUUCCCGGUGUAGCGGUGAAAUGUGUAGAGAUCGGGAGGAACACCGGUGGCGAAGGCGGGUCUCUGGGCAAUUCCUGACGCUGAGGCGCGAAAGCGUGGGGAGCAAACGGG